rnacentral:rRNA from 1 species
CACGUAGGGACCAAGCGUUGUCCGGAUUCAUUGGGCGUAAAGAGCUCGUAGGCGGUUCGAUAAGUCGGGUGUGAAACCUCCAGGCUCAACCUGGAGACGCCACCCGAUACUGUCGUGACUAGAGUCCAGUAGGGGAGCGUGGAAUUCCUGGUGUAGCAGUGAAAUGCGUAGAUAUCAAGUGGAACACCGGCGGCGAAGGCGGCCCCCUGGCCCGCAACUGACGCUCAUGGUCGAAAGCGUGGGGAGCAAACAGG